GAGGAAAAGAAACUAACAAGGAUUCCCCUAGUAACUGCGAGUGAAGAGGGAAAAGCUCAAAUUUAAAAUCUGGCGGUUCUUGCAGCCGUCCGAGUUGUAAUUUAGAGAAGUGUUAUCCGCGCUGGACCGUGUACAAGUCUCCUGGAAUGGAGCGUCAUAGAGGGUGAGAAUCCCGUCUUUGACACGGACUACCAGGGCUUUGUGAUGCGCUCUCGAAGAGUCGAGUUGUUUGGGAAUGCAGCUCAAAAUGGGUGGUAAAUUCCAUCUAAAGCUAAAUAUUGGCGAGAGACCGAUAGCGAACAAGUACCGUGAGGGAAAGAUGAAAAGAACUUUGGAAAGAGAGUUAAACAGUACGUGAAAUUGUUGAAAGGGAAACGCUUGAAGUCAGUCGCGUUGGCUGGGGAUCAACCUUGCUUUUUGCUUGGCGUACUUCUCAGUUGAUGGGUCAGCAUCAGUUUUGACCGCUGGAUAAAGAUUGAGGGAAUGUGGCAUCCUCGGAUGUGUUAUAGCCCUUAGUUGUAUACAGCGGUUGGGACUGAGGAACUCAGCACGCCGCAAGGCCGGGUCUUUGACCACGUACGUGCUUAGGAUGCUGGCAUAAUGGCUUUAAUCGACCCGUCUUGAAACACGGACCAAGGAGUCUAACAUGCCUGCGAGUGUUUGGGUGGAAAACCCGAGCGCGUAAUGAAAGUGAAAGUUGAGAUCUCUGUCGUGGAGAGCAUUGACGCCCAGACCAGACCUUUUGUGACGGACCUGCGGUAGAGCAUGUAUGUUGGGACCCGAAAGAUGGUGAACUAUGCCUGAAUAGGGUGAAGCCAGAGGAAACUCUGGUG
rnacentral:rRNA from 1 species